rnacentral:tRNA from 1 species
AUGUGAGUUAGUUGAGUGGCGUCAGUCUCCUCAGGGGAGACUGGCGGAAAUAAUCGUUCUAGAUCAGUUUUCGCGUA